rnacentral:tRNA from 1 species
GGGGUCGUAGUUCAGCCUGGUUAGAACGCCUGCCUGUCACGCAGGAGGUCGCGAGUUCGAGUCUCGUCGACCCCGCCA